GAGAAAAAGCAAGAAAGUAAUCCCUCAACAAACCAAAAAGAAGACAGCCACAAGAACAGAAUGCCAACUCUAACAACAAAAAUAAAAGGAAGCAACAAUUACUUUUCCUUAAUAUCUCUUAAUAUCAAUGGACUCAAUUCCCCAAUAAAAAGACAUAGACUAACAGACUGUCUACACAAACAGGACCCAACAUUCUGCUGCUUACAGAAAACCCAUCUCAGGGAAAAAGACAGACACUACCUCAGAGUGAAAGGCUGGAAAACAAUUUUCCAAGCAAAUGGUCUGAAGAAACAAGCUGGAGUAGCCAUUCUAAUAUCGGAUAAAAUCGACUUCCAACCCAAAGUUAUC
rnacentral:lncRNA from 1 species